GCGGCUUUCCGGCGCGAUUCCGGCUUCGUCCGACGUCCGAUCGAGGCGAUUCCAGUGGCGUUGGAAAGCUUGUUCCGAGAGCUUUCUUUUGACACCAAUUUUGAAGCAAAUGGAGGUCGGAUGAGUGAGAUAUGGAGGAGAGAAGUUUCGGGUUUUUCAAGCUUUUUCGUCAGAUCUACGACGAUCCGAUUGUUGGAUCGACGAUCCGAGACCACAUAUGGACUGAGGAAGAGGAGAGGAACAUGGUGGUAUGAUCGGAUCCGGCAAAUGUCACCGGUGACCGGCGGCCGGCCACCGUGCGCGGUGGUGCCGGCGGUGGCUCCGGUGAGCUAUGGAGAUGGUUCAACUUCCAGAGGCUUCCUCAUAAAUUUUUGGAAUUUUUGAGACACAGAUAAACUUCGGGUGAUCGAGGUCAGCUAUUUUCUGCUUCCAGCAGCCACAAUAGUCAUCGGUGUACUGCUACAGGAGGAGACAUUUUUCAGAAUAACCUGUCCCUUUCCUCUCAGGUUAUGAAAAGAUUACUUAAUUGUAUUAUUAUUCUCUAAAUUUGUAAUUUAGGACUCCGCAUGUGCUAGUAGUAGCAUUAAGCCUAUCUGAGACUGUAUGAAUUCAAGUUUUCAUAUUAAUA